rnacentral:rRNA from 1 species
GACAGAGGGUGCAAACGUUGUUCGGAAUUACUGGGCGUAAAGCGCGUGUAGGCGGCUAAGUAAGUCGGGCGUGAAAUCCCACGGCUCAACCGUGGAAGUGCACUCGAAACUGCAUAGCUAGAGUCCUGGAGGGGAAGGUGGAAUGCUUGGUGUAGAGGUGAAAUUCGUAGAUAUCAAGCGGAACACCGGUGGCGAAGGCGGCCUUCUGGACAGUGACUGACGCUGAGACGCGAAAGCGUGGGGAGCAAACAGG